AAGCGGUGGAGCAUGUGGUUUAAUUCGAUGCAACGCGAAGAACCUUACCAAGGCUUGACAUGCCAGAAGUAGGAACUCGAAAGAGAGACCACCUGUAUCCAGUCAGGAACUGGCACAGGUGCUGCAUGGCUGUCGUCAGCUCGUGCCGUGAGGUGUUAGGUUAAGUCCUGCAACGAGCGCAACCCUCGUCGCUAGUUAAAUUUUUCUAGCGAUACUGCCCGUAAAAACGAGGAGGAAGGUGGGGAUGACGUCAAGUCAGCAUGGCCCUUACGCCUUGGGCUACGCACACGCUACAAUGGGUGAUACAACGGGUUGCGAGAGAGCGAUCUGGAGCUAAUCCCUAAAAUCAUCCUCAGUUCGGAUUGCAGGCUGAAACUGCCUGCAUGAAGUUGGAGUUGCUAGUAACCGCAGGUCAGCACACUGCGGUGAAUACGUUCUCGGGCCUU
rnacentral:rRNA from 1 species